AGUGAACGCUGGCGGUAGGCCUAACACAUGCAAGUCGAACGGCAGCACAGUAAGAGCUUGCUCUUACGGGUGGCGAGUGGCGGACGGGUGAGGAAUACAUCGGAAUCUACUUUUUCGUGGGGGAUAACGUAGGGAAACUUACGCUAAUACCGCAUACGACCUACGGGUGAAAGCAGGGGAUCUUCGGACCUUGCGCGAUUGAAUGAGCCGAUGUCGGAUUAGCUAGUUGGCGGGGUAAAGGCCCACCAAGGUGACGAUCCGUAGCUGGUCUGAGAGGAUGAUCAGCCACACUGGAACUGAGACACGGUCCAGACUCCUACGGGAGGCAGCAGUGGGGAAUAUUGGACAAUGGGCGCAAGCCUGAUCCAGCCAUACCGCGUGGGUGAAGAAGGCCUUCGGGUUGUAAAGCCCUUUUGCUGGGAAAGAAAAGCAGCAGGUUAAUACCCCGCUGUUCUGACGGUACCCAAAGAAUAAGCACCGGCUAACUUCGUG
rnacentral:rRNA from 1 species